GACGGAGGAGGCAAGCGUUAUCCGGAAUUAUUGGGCGUAAAGCGUCCGCAGGCGGCUUAUUAAGUCUGUUGUCAAAGCCCACAGCUCAACUGUGGAUCGGCAAUGGAAACUGGUGAGCUAGAGUGUGGUAGGGGUAGAGGGAAUUCCCGGUGUAGCGGUGAAAUGCGUAGAUAUCGGGAAGAACACCAGUGGCGAAGGCGCUCUACUGGGCCACAACUGACGCUGAGGGACGAAAGCUAGGGGAGCGAAA
rnacentral:rRNA from 1 species